rnacentral:tRNA from 1 species
GGCCGGUUGGCGAUCUUGGGAUCGAGCGGCUCGUCGAGAUCGAGGCUCGGCGCCUCGGGCGUCGGGGCCAUGGCCGGUUCGGCCGACACCGGCUCC